rnacentral:rRNA from 1 species
UACGGGGGGGGCAAGCGUUGUUCGGAAUUACUGGGCGUAAAGCGUGCGCAGGCGGUUAUGUAAGACCGAUGUGAAAUGCCCGGGCUUAACCUGGGAACUGCAUUUGUGACUGCAUGGCUAGAGUUUGGCAGAGGGGGGUAGAAUUCCACGUGUAGCAGUGAAAUGCGUAGAUAUGUGGAGGAACACCGAUGGCGAAGGCAGCCCCCUGGGUCAAGACUGACGCUCAUGCACGAAAGCGUGGGGAGCAAACAGG